GAGGAGCAGUCAGAAUGUUUUGUAAUAAAAGUGUAAAGCCGUUAAAAUAGCUUCAGAAAGCUUUCUGUGAUGUCCAAGGAUGCAAAAGGAUUGCCAGUUAGACGGAGCACCAUGGAUCUUGUGAAUUACCAUCUUCUUUUAGUGGAGUGUGGAGGGCAGGGUGGGGGAAAGAUGGAUAACAAAGUCGACAAGUAAAUACAUGCUACAUAAAUAUGCAUAAAUCCAUUACCAUCUGCCAUGUUGUCCAAUUUGAGAAGGGUGUCUGCCACAUAAAUCAGUUUAAAUCAGGUUUGUCUGGGGUGGUGGCUGAAGUGCUAGUAAAUAAUACACAGAGUACUGUUGUUUACUCCCCCCCCCCGGCAAACAUGUAUUUAGUCAAGAUUUACUUUGUUGUUUACUCGCGAAAAUGGAAUCUGUGGGUUUCAAUCAUGAAAGUACGUUACCAUGAAUUGUUGUUGGCUAGCCAUUUUGCUAAACAAUCUAAUAUAAUUUAUACGGCAUGUAGAAAAUUAUGAUUGUAAAUAAUUGGCUUUUAAAGUGCUGCUUCUAUGAUUUGCAUACCUGUUCUGUUCGAUUCCCCCAUUGCCAUAAUAUUUUAUAGCAGCCCAUUAAUACGUUGAGGAGCGUGUCUGGGCAGAAUCCAAAUAAAUGAGUCAUCUCCCUUGAUACGUUGCUUUAUAUGUGUCGUAAGGAGAGCGGAAGAAGCACACAUUUCUAAGUUCCAGUCCCAAACAUUGUGGAUACAGUCCGAAAGCCUGAAUUUUCAGUUCAGUCCUUCAACAGCUUUCAGGACUAUGUAUGUUGUGGUUUUCUCAAUUGCCUUAUACCAUGGGUAGGUAAACUAAGGCCCAGGGGCUGGAUCUGGCCCAACUGCCUUCUAAAUCCGGCCCGCGGACGGUCCGGGAAUCAGCUUUUUUUUACAUGAGUAGAAUUUGUCCUUUUAUUUAAAAUGCACCUCUGGGUUAUUUGUGGGCAUAGGAAUUUGUUCAUUCCACCCCCCAAAUAUAGUCCACCCCCGCCCCACCCCAGGUCUGAGGGACAGUGGACCCGCCCCCUGCUGAAAAAGUUUGCUGACCCCUGCCUUAAACUUAGCUGGUCACUUAAUAAUCACCGCUUCCCAGGCAAUCUGAAUUCUGGAAAAUAAAAAGAGCCUGUUGGAGCACAUCUGUGGCCCGUCUAGUCCAACAUCCUGUUGUCACAGUUGCCAUCCAGAUGCCUGGGGGAUGCCCACAAGGAGGAGGACCCAAGCACAAGAGCCCUCUCCUCUCCUGAAGUUUCCAGCAACUGUAUUCAGAAACAUACUGCCUCUAACUGUGGAAGCAAAGCACAGUCAUUAGGGCUAAUAGCCAAUGAUAACCUUCCCCGCCUCUCAGCUGUGCAAGCUCUGCUGCCCCUUUGCCUCGUGUGAGCCAGAGUGACAGCGGGGCUUGGUUGACCAGGUGCUCCCCAUUUCUGGGUACCCGGCACCAUACACGUGCAUGGUUGCAUGCAAA